AGCGAACGCUGGCGGCAGGCCUAAUACAUGCAAGUCGAGCGGUCACUUCGGUGGCAGCGGCGGACGGGUGAGUAACGCGUGGGAACGUGCCCUUUGGUUCGGAACAACACAGGGAAACUUGUGCUAAUACCGAAUGUGCCCUUCGGGGGAAAGAUUUAUCGCCAUUGGAGCGGCCCGCGUUGGAUUAGGUAGUUGGUGGGGUAAAGGCCCACCAAGCCUACGAUCCAUAGCUGGUCUGAGAGGAUGAUCAGCCACACUGGGACUGAGACACGGCCCAGACUCCUACGGGAGGCAGCAGUAGGGAAUCUUGCGCAAUGGGCGAAAGCCUGACGCAGCCAUGCCGCGUGGAUGAUGAAGGUCUUAGGAUUGUAAAAUUCUUUCACCGGGGAAGAUAAUGACGGUACUCGGAGAAGAAGCCCCGGCUAACUUCGUGCCAGCAGCCGCGGUAAAAC
rnacentral:rRNA from 1 species